CUCCUGACUGACCGAUAGUGAACCAGUACCGUGAGGGAAAGGCGAAAAGAACCCCUGUGAGGGGAGUGAAAUAGAUCCUGAAACCGCAUGCAUACAAGCAGUGGGAGCACCUUCGUGGUGUGACUGCGUACCUUUUGUAUAAUGGGUCAGCGACUUAUAUUCAGUAGCGAGGUUAACCGUAUAGGGGAGCCGUAGAGAAAUCGAGUCUUAAUAGGGCGUUUAGUUGCUGGGUAUAGACCCGAAACCAGGCGAUCUAUCCAUGAGCAGGUUGAAGGUUGGGUAACACUAACUGGAGGACCGAACCCACUGUCGUUGAAAAGCCAGGGGAUGACUUGUGGAUAGGGGUGAAAGGCUAAUCAAGCCUGGUGAUAGCUGGUUCUCCCCGAAAGCUAUUUAGGUAGCGCCUCGGACGAAUACCAUAGGGGGUAGAGCACUGUUUCGGCUAGGGGGUCAUCCCGACUUACCAAACCGAUGCAAACUCCGAAUACCUAUGAGUACUAUCCGGGAGACAGACUGCGGGUGCUAACGUCCGUAGUCAAGAGGAAAACAAUCCAGACCGCCAGCUAAGGCCCCAAAAUCAUAGUUAAGUGGGAAACGAUGUGGGAAGGCAUAGACAGCUAGGAGGUUGGCUUAGAAGCAGCCACCCUUUAAAGAAAGCGUAAUAGCUCACUAGUCGAGUCGGCCUGCGCGGAAGAUGUAACGGGGCUAAAACUAUGUGCCGAAGCUGCGGAU
rnacentral:rRNA from 1 species